CUUCCCAAGCCCUCAGUGGCUCAACUGUCAAACUGUCAAUUGUCCCCAGUCCAGGAGGGGGGCACAGAGCCUCAGCCAGGGCUGUCUUCCAUGGCUGGGUCACUUGGGUGCCCCUCUGGCUCUCACAGGCCAGCUCAGGGCUCAGAACCGCCCUCCCGAGGGCCUGGAUGGAGGCCCCUGUGGUCCUGGCCCCAAGUCCCUACCUGUUUCAUCUUCCCAGCUGCGGACUCACCUCCACGACCAGACAAAGCCUGGCAGCUGUGGCAUUUGCCUUGAUCUCUCCCUGGCCAGGUGGGCCACAGACCUAGAACACCCCCUCCUCCACUUUGUCUUGCUGCUUCAUCCAAGAAGCUUCAGGACCCAGCAUCCUUCGAGAAAGUGCCCCUGGCCAGACCCACCCCAUGCCUGUACCUAUCUCUCUCCCUCCAUCGUGGGCAGGUCAGGACCUUGCGUGUCGAAGCCUUCUGUGGCGCUGUGACGGCUGGCGGUCUUCAGGACCUGGGAGCGGUACAAUAAG